AUGAAAAAAACACCAUCACUGCUGUUCCCACCACCAUAACACCACCACGAUAGCUGCCACGCCUAACUCACAUGGCCAUAUUCCAAGAAAGCAGUUUACAGUAGUAUUUUUAAAACACUGAUUUGAGAGUCAGACCAAUUUAAGAUCUAUUCCAAGAAGUACUAGUUGUUUGAGUUUAAAUAAUUAAUUAACCUUUGAAACUUAAUUCCCCCAAAUAAAAAAAUAGAAACAGUAAUAGAGCCAGCUCAUAGGAAUGUGGUUCAGACCAAACAGUUAUCACAAUGUUUGACCGGUAACUCAACAAAAGUUCACUAUCUUUAUUAUCAGUAUUUCCGCCCCAACUCCUUUUUAGUACACAGCUGCUCCCCUAGCAUUUUUGCUUGAGAAUGGGUGAGGAAAGGACAAUUUAUCCCUUUAUUUCUAAGUCUCAUGGGACCCCCUAGGCUGCCUGACAUCCCUUAGAAGGGGUCUGGUCAUAGCAGUAUAGGUUGAAGAAAGUUUCAGAUUUGGAACUCAGCUGUCUGGAUUUGAAUCCAGAUCUGCUUUUUAAAAUCUAUCUGGCCUUCAAAAUGUGUCUGUCCUCUCUGAGACUUCCUCUUCUAAAAAAAAUGGGGAGUCAUAUCUUUUCCUUGAAGCAUCUGGGGAGGAUUCCAUGAGAUAAGAUAGAGAAAAGCCCCAGGAGAUGAUGGGCAGAGAGUAGGUACUCAAUGCAUGGAGUUGACUUUGAUGUGCUGAUAUUUCAGUUUUGAAUAAAUAAUUAUAAGGAAGUGAAAAACGUGUGCACUGCUCUAGAGAACCUUCUACUGGGGAAUAAAAUCCAGUCUUUCUCUCUUCCAGAUGGAGCUCAGCCUGGCACUCUAACCGGUUCUCUGGGUGUACUGCAAAGGUCUAAUAAAAGGCACCUUUGCCCAGUUGCUUCAAUUCUAGGAAGCUGUUCAAUGUUUGACUAUAUUUCUCCAUACUCAUUUGAAAACGGUUCAUCAGAGACUAGAUCUCACUAUGCAGCUCAGGCUGAUUCUGACCUCCUGGUCUCAAGUAAUCCUCCCACCUUGGCCUCCUGAAGUGCUAGGAUUGCAGGUAUGAACUGCCAUACCCAGCCCUUUGCCCCGUUUCUGAUGGAUUUUAUGAUCCUUUUCUUGUUAACUUACAGGUUACCCUCAUAUAUCCUAUAUUGGUUGUUAGUCAGUUGUAAAUGUUGCACAUAUUGUGUUUCAAUUUUUUAAUUUUUAACUUCAUCUUUAUAAUUUUUCAUUAAAAAGAAAUCCUCAACUUUGGUGUCAUCAAACACUUCUUUUUUUUUUUUUUUUUUUUUUUUUUUGCUUUAUAUUUGGUAAUUUUAGGUCUUCUUUAGAAAGUUUGUCCCCACCUCUACAUUGUAAAAACACUCUUCUAAAUUUUCUUUUGUUAACCAUUUAAGCUUU
rnacentral:lncRNA from 1 species